UGGAGCCUGCGGUUUAAUCGGACUCAACGCCGGGAAACUCACCAGAUAAGACAGCUGAAUGAUAGUCGGGCUGAAGACUCUACUUGACUAGCUGAGAGGAGGUGCAUGGCCGUCGUCAGUUCGUACUGUGAAGCAUCCUGUUAAGUCAGGCAACGAGCGAGACCCACGCCAACAGUUGCCAGCUCGUCCUCCGGGAUGGUGGGGACACUGUUGGGACCGCCUCUGCUAAAGAGGAGGAAGGAAUGGGCAACGGUGGGUCAGCAUGCCCCGAAUUAUCUGGGCUACACGCGGGCUACAAUGGGUGGGACAAUGGGUAUCGACACCGAAAGGUGAAGGCAAUCUCCUAAACCCAUCCGUAGUUCGGAUUGUGGGCUGCAACUCGCCCACAUGAAGCUGGAAUCUGUAGUAAUCGUGUCUCAAAAUGGCACGGUGAAUAUGUCCCUGCUCCUU
rnacentral:rRNA from 1 species